rnacentral:tRNA from 1 species
GCCCACAUAGGCAAACUGGAAAAGCCGACGCGCUUAGAACGCGUUGCGUGGGGGUUCGACUCCCUCUGUGGGUA